GACGUAGGGGGCCAGCGUUGUUCGGAAUUACUGGGUGUAAAGGGUUCGUAGGCGGUGUGGCAAGUCGGGAGUGAAAUCUCUGGGCUCAACUCAGAGACUGCUUCCGAAACUGCUGUGCUGGAGUGUGGGAGAGGCGCGUGGAAUUGCAGGUGUAGCGGUGAAAUGCGUAGGUAUCUGCAGGAACACCCGUGGCGAAAGCGGCGCGCUGGACCACUACUGACGCUGAGGAACGAAAGCUAGGGGAGCAAACAGG
rnacentral:rRNA from 1 species